UAAAUGUUUGAAAAUGAUAAUAACAUAAAUGUUUAAAAAGAACUUUCUCUCAUUGCCGUAACAAGAAUCUACAGGUCGAGCAAGUCUCGUAAAUUUCACGAUUGCGAGCCACGCUUCACGCAACCGUGUUUGCGUACUUGUGUUUCGAGUUGCGUGGUCGUGCGGAGUUGUCAAAAUUAAAUCAAUAUGUCAAUAUGGCUACUGGGUGUAAAAGAUACAUCUUAUUCUAUCUGUUCUUAAUGAGUUUUAGAUAAUUUUAGUUGUAUUUCUUUGUAAUUUUGUGUUGUACAAAGAUUAAUUUAACAUUUUCUCUGGAAGUAUUAAUUUAGAAAGAUAAUAUGCUUCAUUGGUGUUGUGUUUUGAAGUGUGAAAUGCAAAGUAAUUGUGAUAAAGUUCACUUUUAAACUGAACUAAAUAAGGUAUCUGAGAGACAACAAUGGUUAAAUGCAAUACAAUGUACAGGUUUUACUAGCGAAAUGAAAAUUUUCCUGUCCUGUCUGCUGUAAUCAUUUUAUAUCUGGAAAACCAGCCGACUUAAUCGAUAAUAACAAUCUCCAGAUUGGGUUCCUUCAAUAAAUAUGGGCUAUAAACACAAUGAAAUAAGUUCCCCAAAAUCUAAAAUGGAGUGGUAUCAAAGGAGAAUUAAAGGAAAAAAUAUUCAUAUUGAAAUUAUUUAUAAGGCACUGGACUGUCUUAAAUUCUACAGUAAUACUAGAAUCAGCUGAGAGAAGUGGUCUACAAAAAACCAGGAAGGAAACGGAAUAUGUGGCUACGAAAGGCAAAAGAAAGGUUUACAAAGCAAAUGUGACACAUUUUUUUGAAAUAUUUAGGAAUAUCAGUAAAUUGCAUUAAAAAAAUGUAUGAAAAGAUUUUGUUCAAUAAAAAUGUUUAUAUUUA